CCUACGGGUGGCAGCAGUAGGGAAUUUUCGUCAAUGGGCGCAAGCCUGAACGAGCAAUGCCGCGUGAACGAGGAAGGUCUUCGGAUCGUAAAGUUCUGUUGAAGGGGAAAAAGAGCGGAGCGAGGAAAUGAACUCCGAUUGAUAUUACCCUUCGAGGAAGUCACGGCUAACUACGUGACAGCAGCCGCGGUAAUACGUAGGUGGCGAGCGUUAUCCGGAAUGAUUGGGCGUAAAGGGUGCGUAGACGGCCUGCUAAGUCUGGAGUGAAAGGUACCGGCUCAACCGGUAAAGGUUCUGGAAACUGGCGGGCUAGAGGGAAGGAGAGGGCGGUGGAACUCCAUGUGUAGCGGUAAAAUGCGUAGAUAUAUGGAAGAACACCAGAGGCGAAGGCGGCCGCAUGACCUGUUGACUGACGCUGAGGCACGAAAGCGUGGGGAGCAAAUAGGAUUAGAUACCCCGGUAGUC
rnacentral:rRNA from 1 species